rnacentral:rRNA from 1 species
CAAUCAAACCGGGAGAUAGCUGGUUCUCCCCGAAAGCUAUUUAGGUAGCGCCUCGUGAAUUCAUCUCCGGGGGUAGAGCACUGUUUCGGCAAGGGGGUCAUCCCGACUUACCAACCCGAUGCAAACUGCGAAUACCGGAGAAUGUUAUCACGGGAGACACACGGCGGGUGCUAACGUCCGUCGUGAAGAGGGAAACAACCCAGACCGCCAGCUAAGGUCCCAAAGUCAUGGUUAAGUGGGAAACGAUGUGGGAAGGCCCAGACAGCCAGGAUGUUGGCUUAGAAGCAGCCAUCAUUUAAAGAAAGCGUAAUAGCUCACUGGUCGAGUCGGCCUGCGCGGAAGAUGUAACGGGGCUAAACCAUGCACCGAAGCUGCGGCAGCGACGCUUAUGCGUUGUUGGGUAGGGGAGCGUUCUGUAAGCCUGCGAAGGUGUGCUGUGAGGCAUGCUGGAGGUAUCAGAAGUGCGAAUGCUGACAUAAGUAACGAUAAAGCGGGUGAAAAGCCCGCUCGCCGGAAGACCAAGGGUUCCUGUCCAACGUUAAUCGGGGCAGGGUGAGUCGACCCCUAAGG